UGCGUAGGUCAUUAUCGAAUGAACUUGAUAGGCUGUUGCUGGUCUCUUGGGACAUUGUGCACGCUUGACUUCUUUCUCAUUUCUCCAACUGCCCACGUAUUUUGCACUCCUUGGAGGGGGGAAUGGAAUCUUUUAUUAAAGGGGACGGCUGUGCCUUCAAAAAAAAAGAGGUCGGCUUUCCCUUUCUUUGACAAUUCAAUUUUUUUUCAAACAAUAUUGCUCCUCGGAUUAAAAGGAUCGAAAUAUUCAAAAAAAGAUUCCAUGAUUGGAUGACUUGGGCAAUUCACAUUACUUAUCGCAUUUCGAAAUGGUUCUUCAUAAUGUGAAUUGCAAAAUUCAUCCGAAUCCUCAAAUCUGUUUUUUAUAACUUUUAUGCCUUGGCAUCCCUAGAAACAUGCUGGUUGGAGUGACAUUUAGAACUCCCUUUCCCCGGAUCUUGAACCUCUUUUUUAUUGGGGGGCUUUUGCACCCUUUUCAAAAAAGGCCUGCUCUCCCCACAUACGUCUACGGAACCUGGGCACAGUACCGCAAGGGGUUGAUAACACUCAUGUGUGCCUUUGGCUGCCGAACAAAUGGGCUGCGUUCAAAACUGUUCAUGCUCUUGACAUCUUGAGCUCACAUCAGGAAGGACUACCCGCAGAUUUACUUCAUCUCAAUGACCGGAGGAUUCC
rnacentral:misc_RNA from 1 species